rnacentral:rRNA from 1 species
GACGAACGCUGGCGGCGUGCCUAACACGUGCAAGUCGAGCGGAGACAGUGAGUAGCUUACUAUGAGCUGUUUUAGCGGCGGACGGGUGAGUAACGCGUGAGCAACCUUUCCCAGACAGGGGAAUAACACACCGAAAGGUGUACUAAUACCGCAUAAGACCACGGUUUCACAUGGAACUGAGGUAAAAGAUUUAUCGGUUUGGGGUGGGCUCGCGUCCGAUUAGGUAGUUGGUGAGGUAACGGCCCACCAAGCCGACGAUCGGUAGCCGACCUGAGAGGGUGAUCGGCCACAUUGGGACUGAGACACGGCCCAAACUCCUACGGGAGGCAGCAGUGGGGAAUAUUGGGCAAUGGAGGAAACUCUGACCCAGCAACGCCGCGUGGAGGAAGAAGGUUUUCGGAUCGUAAACUCCUGUCCU